rnacentral:rRNA from 1 species
GAUGAACGCUGGCGGCGUGCCUAAUACAUGCAAGUCGAGCGAACAGAUAAGGAGCUUGCUCCUUUGACGUUAGCGGCGGACGGGUGAGUAACACGUGGGUAACCUACCUAUAAGACUGGAAUAACUCCGGGAAACCGGGGCUAAUGCCGGAUAACAUUUAGAACCGCAUGGUUCUAAGGUGAAAGAUGGUUUUGCUAUCACUUAUAGAUGGACUCGCGCCGUAUUAGCUAGUUGGUAAGGUAGCGGCUUACCAAGGCAACGAUACGUAGCCGACCUGAGAGGGUGAUCGGCCACACUGGAACUGAGACACGGUCCAGACUCCUACGGGAGGCAGCAGUAGGGAAUCUUCCGCAAUGGGCGAAAGCCUGACGGAGCAACGCCGCGUGAGUGAUGAAGGUCUUCGGAUCGUAAAACUCUGUUAUUAGGGAAGAACAAAUGUGUAAGUAACUGUGCACGUCUUGACGGUACCUAAUCAGAAAGCCACGGCUAACUACGUG